GCCAGUGUGGCUCAGUGGUUGAGCACUGACCCAUGAAUCAGUAGAUCCUGGUUCGAUUCCAGUCAGGGCA
rnacentral:tRNA from 1 species